CGGUAUUUUGUACCUAUUCAAUCUGUCAUUAGCAUCUUUUGAUUCCGUGAUUGUUUUACAGAAAAGCAUUGGUUAAAAAUAUAUUCUGGUAUUGGUCUAUCGUUUUUAAAAUUAUCAUGACUGAGACAUGUUUCAAAGGUCAAUCGAAGGUUGAGCUUAUGGAAGAGUUAGUGAAUUGCUAUGUUGGUACCGGUAUUUGUCCAUUUUGUACUGGUGUUAAAGGAGAAGAUUCCUUCAUGAAAAAUCAUUUGAAGCAUUGUCAUAUAGACAAUGCAGUUUCAUUUCUCAACGUUCUGAUUCUUCCCUGUCGAAAAGAAGAAUCAUAUCGAAGCCAUUUCCACUGUCCUUUCUGUUUUAACGUUUACGGAAGAAAAGCACAUAUGCUGCGGCAUCUGAACAGAUUAAAUGGAAAAUGUGGUGAAGUCAAAGGUAGGCAGUCUUGGAGUGCGAAGUCACAAAAUGUUGAUUCGAAAGGUAAACAUAUCAAUGAUGAAAAAAACCGGCAUGAAAACAAUCUUGAAAGAGAGUAUACGCAUGGUGAUGCUGCUCGAUAACCAUCACUAGUUUAUCGCGUCAUCUUCACACAGAAAAGCAAUUUUUAUUUCUCCUAAUUAUGUUUGUCCAAUGUGUACUUUCGGAAUUUGAUAAAAUAAACUACUGACUGACUUCACUAAGUACACCGAUAGUGGAUCAUACAUUUCUUAUUAUCCUCAUGUGAGUGAAUGUCUGCAUGCUACUGAAAAUAUGCAUAUCUGGCCCAGUAGUAGGGAUGCGACAAGAUUCGGACUCGUGCUCGGAUUCGUGGCCGAAUCUCUGGUAAUUUGAUACUUGGAUUCGGCUCGAGCCUUUGAUGAUUUUACCCGAGUCCGGGAUAUCAUAAGUCACGCGAUAGUCAAGCGCAGACUGGUGGCGGAUUAGAUGAGAAAUUCAACUUUUUCGUUCGUUAUUUAUUGGAUCCUAUUGGAAGUAACUUGGAUGAGAGCAAACAAGCCGAAAUAAGUGUUAGUGAAUAUCUGAAGUUAAGAGAGAGAAUGGGAGUUUUGGAGACAGAUCUACAGUUCAAAAGUGGGAUAAUUGAACAUCCCAAACAGUCUGACGGUUUCAGCUGUGGGCUGUUUGUGAUGAAGAUUGCAGAAAGUGUAUUAAAUAAUGGAUUUGGUAACAUUAGUUUUCGAUCUACAUUAAACGAUUUAGCUCAGUACAGACACGAUAUAGCGGAAAAGAUCUUGGAAUUUUCUGAUAUGAAAGAUGUAUGCAGCAUAUGUGGCAGCGCAAUAUCUCAUGGAACUUGGGUUUGUUUUCACAUUUAUUUUUUAGGCUCUGAAAAUUAUACAUCAUGAAUAUUUAUUGUACUAAUGUUACCUACUUACUUCUGGUUGGUUGACAUUUUGUUCCUUUGUCUAAAUAAUUUUGGCAUCCCCGUAGUAUGCAAGCAACGAUGGCGGACACAGAAAUGCAGUAUGUGUAGUGGGUUAGGAUGUAAUUUUAUUCUAAUUUUUCUUAUUUUAGUUCUAUUUUGGGUUCGAUGACUAGCCAAGUCCUGUAGUAUCAUUUGUACCUGAAAUUAUGGCCUAACCUGGUACACAUACUACAUUUUGGUGUGCAAGUAAUAUCUGCCAUGAACGUAUAUAAUUUGUAGCUACAUUACAAAACAAAAGAAGAGUUGGGUAAAAUACCACGGUGUGAAAUGUGAAGUCAUUUCUCAAUAUAUCUUAACCAGGCUUGUUUGUUAUCUUCCAAUAAGUUAAUUGUUCAAGUAUUUUUCAAUUCAAGUACUUCAUUUAAAUACUGUGAGGGCCAAAAAAAUAUAUGGUAUCGAUAAAUUCCCUUUCGAUUUCAAAAUAUUUUAUGACUUUAUGGACACCCUAUUCAUCUUCCGUAAAAACGCACCCAUGCAACAUAAUAUUAGGCUGAUUAGAAUGGUAAAAUCCCAUUCUUUAAUAAUAAU